rnacentral:rRNA from 1 species
ACUAACGCUGGCGGCGUGCCUAAUACAUGCAAGUCGACGGGAUUCUUUGAUCAGCUUGCUGAGAGAAGGAUCUAGUGGCGGACGGGUGAGUAACGCGUGGGAAUCUGCCUCUUACUGGGGGAUAACAGUGGGAAACUACUGCUAAUACCGCAUAAGAUCUUCGGAUGAAAGGUGCAACUGCACCGGUAAGAGAUGAGCCCGCGUCCCAUUAGCUAGUUGGUGAGGUAAAGGCUCACCAAGGCGACGAUGGGUAGCCGGCCUGAGAGGGUGAACGGCCACACUGGGACUGAGACACGGCCCAGACUCCUACGGGAGGCAGCAGUAGGGAAUCUUCCGCAAUGGGCGCAAGCCUGACGGAGCGACGCCGCGUGAGUGAUGAAGGCCUUCGGGUCGUAAAGCUCUGUUCUUGAGGACGAAUAAGCCAGGGAGUGGAAAGCCCUGGUGAUGACUGUACUCAAGGAGAAAGCUCCGGCUAACUACGUG